UUAAAAAGGGGCGCUGGAAGACAGUCCGGCUGAGAUAAAGCACUUUUGUUUUAAACCCUGUAACCUGAUCUGGAUAAUGCCAGCGUAGGAAACU
rnacentral:ncRNA from 1 species